rnacentral:rRNA from 1 species
ACGUACACUCCUACGGGAGGCAGCAGUGGGGAAUAUUGGACAAUGGGCGCAAGCCUGAUCCAGCCAUGCCGCGUGAGUGAUGAAGGCCCUAGGGUUGUAAAGCUCUUUCACCGGAGAAGAUAAUGACGGUAUCCGGAGAAGAAGCCCCGGCUAACUUCGUGCCAGCAGCCGCGGUAAUACGAAGGGGGCUAGCGUUGUUCGGAAUUACUGGGCGUAAAGCGCACGUAGGCGGAUCGAUCAGUCAGGGGUGAAAUCCCAGGGCUCAACCCUGGAACUGCCUUUGAUACUGUCGAUCUGGAGUAUGGAAGAGGUGAGUGGAAUUCCGAGUGUAGAGGUGAAAUUCGUAGAUAUUCGGAGGAACACCAGUGGCGAAGGCGGCUCACUGGUCCAUUACUGACGCUGAGGUGCGAAAGCGUGGGGAGCAAACAGGAUUAGAUACCCCUGUAGUCCCAUGAU